GACGGACGCUGGCGGCAUGCCUAACACAUGCAAGUCGAACGGAGAUUACUUCGGUAAUCUUAGUGGCGAACGGGUGAGUAACGCGUAGGCAACCUGCCCUCUAGAUGGGGACAACAUCCCGAAAGGGGUGCUAAUACCGAAUGUGACAGCUUUUCUGCAUGGAAGAGCUGUGAAAGAUGGCCUCUAUUUAUAAGCUAUCGCUAGAGGAUGGGCCUGCGUCUGAUUAGCUAGUCGGUGGGGUAACGGCUCACCAAGGCGAUGAUCAGUAGCCGGUCUGAGAGGAUGAACGGCCACAUUGGGACUGAGACACGGCCCAGACUCCUACGUGAGGCAGCAGUGGGGAAUUUUGGACAAUGGGGGCAACCCUGAUCCAGCCAUGCCGCGUGAGUGAAGAAGGCCUUCGGGUUGUAAAGCUCUUUCGGCCGGGAAGAAAUCGCACAGGCUAAUACCCUGUGUGGAUGACGGUACCGGCAUAAGAAGCACCGGCUAACUACGUGCCAGCAGCCGCCGUAA
rnacentral:rRNA from 1 species